UGAAAAUUUAAUGCAAUUGAAUUCCAUGCAUCCAGAAUCACCAGCUGAUUCUAGGGGGAAACAGAGUGGAGAAGGAGCCAAAAACGACUCCAGUGAAUGUUAUCCUGUGGCUUCUUCAAGUAAAACUGUUAAAUCUGAAGCUCUCACAGUUCACAUGCACGAGGAACUGAGUGGUGAACAUGAGCUCAAGAAGAAAAAGAAAGAUGUAAUGAAGGCUGAGGAGAGUGAGGAAGAGAAAUCAAUUAAGAGUGAAAGAAAUGAAUCAGGAUUGACAGGACUUAUUUGCAACAGGAAGGGCAAAUUGCCAAUCUUACAUCAAACCAGAAUCUUGAGGGAAGGAAAAUUUGAAAGUGAAAAAAGAAACAGCAGUGAACCAAGUUGCUCCUCAUCCAGCAAAGCGACCGAAACGAGGGAGGAAGGAAGAAAAGAAGUGGUGACUCGGAAGAAUUCUUGCUUCUUUGAAGCUGUGUCAAAAGUAACAAACUGCCAAACCAGUGAAUUAAUUGAUAAGGUUGUUAGUAAACUGGACAAAAUCUCGGAUGGUGGUAUAUUGAUGAAGAUUAGUCUGGAUAAACCAUUACUGGAGUCAGAGAUUCACAGAAUUUGCUUGGUAAUGGACUGGUUCGUGUGCUUGCAUAUGGGUUCUGAAGUUAAGAACUUUAAUUUCUCUCCAGAUAAGCAUGUGAUGCAUCUAGGUGGAAGACCGGGACACAUCUUCAAUUUGGAAAGCAAAAUUGAGGCCUGUGAAUCCAUUAAUGAGAGCAUGUCAAAAAUAUAUCAAGGGGUGUAUGGCUUUGAUAAACCCACCAUGAUUAAAAAGAGAGUCAAUUCUAACAGGGGCUUGCAGUUGUUGAGGAGUUUCAAAAGCAUGAAUUGUGGAGCUUUGAUUGAUCGUCAGAAAGUAAAUGAAGGGAGAUUGAUCAACCGAAGCUUAAUUGAUUUACUCAUG
rnacentral:misc_RNA from 1 species